UACGUAGGGGGCAAGCGUUGUCCGGAAUCACUGGGCGUAAAGGGUGAGUAGGCGGUUAUUUAAGUUGGGUGUGAAAUCCCCGGGCUUAACCUGGGAAUCGCACUCAAAACUGGGUAACUAGAGUGUCGGAGAGGAAAGCGGAAUUCCUGGUGUAGCGGUGAAAUGCGUAGAUAUCAGGAGGAACACCGGUGGCGAAGGCGGCUUUCUGGACGAUAACUGACGCUGAGGCACGAAAGCGUGGGGAGCAAACAGGAUUAGAUACC
rnacentral:rRNA from 1 species